rnacentral:rRNA from 2 species
GGAAUCUGCCCUCAGGAGGGGGAUAACGGUUGGAAACGGCCGCUAAUACCCCAUAUGCCGAGAGGUGAAAUGAAUUUCGCCUGAGGAUGAGCCCGCGUCUGAUUAGCUAGUUGGUGAGGUAAGAGCUCACCAAGGCAUCGAUCAGUAGCUGGUCUGAGAGGAUGAUCAGCCACACUGGGACUGAGACACGGCCCAGACUCCUACGGGAGGCAGCAGUGGGGAAUUUUCCGCAAUGGGCGAAAGCCUGACGGAGCAACGCCGCGUGAGGGAUGAAGGCCUCUGGGCUGUAAACCUCUUUUAUCAAGGAAGAAGAUCUGACGGUACUUGAUGAAUAAGCCACGGCUAAUUCCGUGCCAGCAGCCGCGGUAAUACGGGAGUGGCAAGCGUUAUCCGGAAUUAUUGGGCGUAAAGCGUCCGCAGGCGGCCCUUCAAGUCUGCUGUUAAAAAGUGGAGCUUAACUCCAUCAUGGCAGUGGAAACUGUUGGGCUUGAGUGUGGUAGGGGCAGAGGGAAUUCCCGGUGUAGCGGUGAAAUGCGUAGAUAUCGGGAAGAACACCAGUGGCGAAGGCGCUCUGCUGGGCCAUCACUGACGCUCAUGGACGAAAGCCAGGGGAGCGAAAGGGAUUAGAUACCCCUGUAGUCCUGGCCGUAAACGAUGAACACUAGGUGUCGGGGGAAUCGACCCCUCCGGUGUCGUAGCCAACGCGUUAAGUGUUCCGCCUGGGGAGUACGCACGCAAGUGUGAAACUCAAAGGAAUUGACGGGGGCCCGCACAAGCGGUGGAGUAUGUGGUUUAAUUCGAUGCAACGCGAAGAACCUUACCAGGGUUUGACAUCCUGCGAAUCUCUUGGAAACUUGAGAGUGCCUUCGGGAGCGCAGUGACAGGUGGUGCAUGGCUGUCGUCAGCUCGUGUCGUGAGAUGUUGGGUUAAGUCCCGCAACGAGCGCAACCCACGUCUUUAGUUGCCAGCAUUUAGUUGGGCACUCUAGAGAGACCGCCGGUGAUAAACCGGAGGAAGGUGUGGAUGACGUCAAGUCAUCAUGCCCCUUACAUCCUGGGCUACACACGUACUACAAUGCUACGGACAAAGGGCAGCAAGUUCGCGAGGACAAGCAAAUCCCAUAAACCGUGGCUCAGUUCAGAUCGUAGGCUGCAACUCGCCUACGUGAAGGAGGAAUCGCUAGUAAUCGCAGGUCAGCAUACUGCGGUGAAUACGUUCCCGGGCCUUGUACACACCGCCCGUCACACCAUGGAAGUUGGCCACGCCCGAAGCCGUUACUCCAACCCUUGUGGAGGAGGACGUCGAAGGUGGGGCUGAUGACUGGGGUGAAGUCGUAACAAGGUAGCCGUACCGGAAGG